UGGCAACGGGGAAGAACCUUUACCUACUCUUGACAUCCAGGAGAAUUUUGCNAGAGAUGGAUUNGUGCCUUCGGGGAACUCUGAGACAGGUGCUGCAUGGCUGUCGUCAGCUCGUGGUUGUGAAAUGUUNGGUUAAGUCCCGCAACGAGCGCAACCCUUAUCCUUGUUUGCCAGCACGUAAUGGUGGGAACUCCAGGGAGACUGCCGGUGAUAAACCGGAGGAAGGUGGGGACGACGUCAAGUCAUCAUGGCCCUUACGAGUAGGGCUACACACGUGCUACAAUGGCGCAUACAGAGGGCGGCCAACCAGCGAUGGUGAGCGAAUCCCAAAAAGUGCGUCGUAGUCCGGAUUGGAGUCUGCAACUCGACUCCAUGAAGUCGGAAUCGCUAGUAAUCGUGAAUCAGAAUGUCACGGUGAAUACGUUGCCCGGGCCUUGUACACACCGCCCGUCACACCAUGGGAGUGGGCUGCAAAAGAAGUGGGUAGUUUAACCUUCGGGAGGACGCUCACCACUUUGU
rnacentral:rRNA from 1 species